rnacentral:rRNA from 1 species
GUCGUGGCUACAGCGAAGGGGAAACACCUGUUUCCAUCCCGAACACAGCCGUUAAGCCCUUCAGCGCUGAUGGUACUGGGACGUGAAGUCCUGGGAGAGUAGGUCGCUGCGACUC